rnacentral:lncRNA from 1 species
UUCUCCCCAAUUUUGGGGUCCUCCCCAGCUUAGGGGUCCCCCUCAGUUUGGGGGUUGCCCCCUGUGAACUUUGGGGUCCCCAAAAAGUUCAAUUCAGGGGUUCCCCCUCAAACCUGAGGGUGUUUCCAACUUUGGGGGUGACCUCAAAUUUGGCCACCACCACCCUUUGGUGUCACCUCAAUUCCAGAGUCACCCCAACAGUCCGGGUGACAAUGGGGGGUGACAACGGCUCUGUCCACACUGGAAUUUCAGGAUUUGAGGGUGACAACCCCAACCCCAUUUCCAUCUGGGGGUGACAAUCCCGCCACCGUUGGAUAUUGGGGUCACCCCCACAACCUGUAGAGGUUUUUUUGGGGUGACAGCCCUUUUCUCAUGGAAAUUCGUGCGUCACCCCCACAGCCAAUUUUGGGUUUUUGGGUUUUGGGGGUGACACCCCCGACCCCAAAUCCAUGUGGGGGUUUUGGGUGACAACAACCCCGUCCUCAAAUCAAUUUUGGGGUCACCCCCACGGCCUGUGGGGUUUGGGGGUGACAACAACACCGACUCCAUCAGAAUUUUGGGUUUUGGGGUGACAACAACCCCGAUCCCAUAUCCAUGUGGGGGUUUGGGGGUGACAACAACCCUGUCCCCAUCAGAAUUUGGGGGCUUGGGGUUGACACCCCCAACUCCAUAUCCAUGUGGGAGUUUUUGGGGUGACAACAAUCCUGACCCCGUAUCCAUGUGGGGAUUUAGGGGUGACAAACCCAUCCCCAUCAGCAUUUGGGGGUUUGGGGUGACACAACCCUGUCCCCAAAUAAAUUUUGGGGUCACCCCCACGGCCUGUGCGGUUUGGGGGUGACAACAACUCCGACCCCACCACAAUUUCAGGGUUCAAGAGGUGACAACCCCAACCCCAUAUCCACGAGGAGUUUUUGGGGUGUGACAACAACCCUGUCCCCACAUGGAUCCGGGGGUCACCCCCAUGGCCUGAGGGGUUUGGGGGUGACAACAACCCUGACCCUGUAUCCAUGUGGUGAUUUUGGGGUUGUACCACCCCCGUCCCCACACAGAUCUGGGGGUGUUUUUUGGGUUGUACCACCCCCAUCCCCACACAGAUCUGGGGGUGUUUUGGGUUGUACCACCCCCAUCCCCACACGGAUUUGGGGGUGUUUUUUGGGUUGUACCACCCCCAUCCCCACACGGAUUCGGGGGUG